GGAGUCGGCCAGACAAUCGCUGCCUGCAUUGCAGGGGGAGGAAAGUCCGGGCUUCACAGGGUAAGGUGCCAGGUAACGCCUGGGGGGCGCGAGCCUACGGAAAGUGCAGCAGAGAGUAGACCGCCGAUGGCUUUGCUAACGCGAAGCACAGGUAAGGGUGAAAGGGUGCGGUAAGAGCGCACCGCGCGACUGGUAACAGCUCGUGGCACGGUAAACCCCACCCGAAGCAAGACCAAAUAGGUUCCCUACAGGCGUGGCCCGCGCUGGGAACGGGUAGGUUGCUGGAGCCUGCGAGUGAUUGCAGGCCUAGACGAAUGAUUGUCCACGACAGAACCCGGCUUAUCGGCCGACUCCACCU
rnacentral:RNase_P_RNA from 1 species